rnacentral:lncRNA from 1 species
UAGAGAAGGCAGGCAGGAAUGAAACCAAGCACAUUCAUGAAAUGAAGUCACGUUGUAGAGAAGGCAGGCAGGAAUGAAACCAAGCACAUCAGGUGACAGCAGUUUCUGUGUUAGUUCAAUUAGUGUCAUCACCAGUGACUGCCCAAGGUCUAGAGGUACAAAACGAUUGCAUGUCUACAAAGUAGGACAGUCACUUAAUUUACCACCAGUAGAAGGAAAGAGAAAGCCACCUCCUGGCUUUAAUUCUGCGAGAGACACAGGGUGAAUUGGCGGUUGGGGGCAGUGCAGGGAUCUCUUUAUCCCUCCAUGCGGCCUUACUGACCUGGGAGGACGGCCUCGCACCUGACCCCCUCAUUGCACUCUAUUUGUCUAGCCUUAUCAUGACCUUGAAAGAAAAUCUUGCUCCCCUCUGCUUUGAUUGUUGCUGUUUGGCCAGCACACUUUGCUCCCGUGUUUCUUCUGGAACCAAACUAACAUUACUUAUUGCUUUCCCGAAUGUCAACAGAGUUUGUUUGCCUUUCCAGAUUAUUGACCACAUUCUGUGGAUCAGACAGGCCCUGGGCUUAAAAAUGAUAUUUAAUACUAUGGGAACUAGAGGCUGCAAAAAUUAGAAGGAUAAGUAGAACCUAGCAGAAAACUAAGAACAGAGCUGUACAUGAUUUCACUGUCUUUGGAGAAAAAAAUUACAAAGUUCUGACUACAGUCCCAUAGGCUGAGCUCCAAGCCCCUUACAGAAGCUUCCCAAAACAGUUGGAGGGAAUUUCUGCCCUUUGCUCCAAUUUGCUUUGGGCACAGAAUGGAUCCUGUGGGUGUUUCUCAGCUGGCUUGGAAGACUUGCAACUGUACUGAUUCAAUGAUGGGGUGAAGAGUGUGUGUUUGGUGAGGGCCACAUGAAUUGCCUAAUAGUCUCAUGAAGCAACAUAAAGGAUCAGAAAGCCACAGUAAGGCAGUGGCCUUGUGGCUCCUGUCCUACUGUGGACAAGCCCCUCAAAGUCUCUGGGCUCGCCUCCUUCACUGCAGAGGGUGUAAAAUUAGGCUAAGUGGUCUUCCAGAUUCAGUGGCUCUACCCUCACUACAGUCAGGAAGUAAGCUCUGCCCCUUUAGAAAGCAAAUUCCAUUAAAAUUUCGCAUGCUAUUGGAUGGGUACACUGAAAUAUAAUUGCUACACACAGGGCAAGCUCCACACGCCAGGCUAGGCUGUCAGGUGGGACCGUGUCCUGCUUCCUGAAAUCAGCUCCAUGAAUAGGGACUCUGCAGGUGAGAGGUGGCAAGGGGACUCCAGUUCUCCCGUUCAGGGCCAGUGAGGACAGAGUCCACGCUCCCUUUCAAGGUGCCCUCAGCCCCUCCCAUUUCUACACCUGCUACACCUGCCCUUCUCCUUCCCUUUGCCCAGCCAUGGCUCAAACCUGAUUUACUCCAUGAAAUCUUUCUGGUUUUCAGUCAGAAAAUCUCUGGACUUGCACAUGUCUUUAAUUUCUGCAGUGCAAUUUGGCACUUGCCUUGCUUGGUGCUGGUGCCUGUGCGCUAUUCCUAUCUUUUGAGUUCCUAUCCAGGGAAGGGGCUGUACCUUAAUCUUCUG